rnacentral:tRNA from 1 species
UUGGGUGUGGCUCAGUGAUGGAGCACUUGCUUAGCAUGUGCAAGGCCCUGGAUUCAAUCCUCAGCACCAAAA